rnacentral:lncRNA from 1 species
ACUAAGUAUUUUUUGAGUAUGAAGUAUGUAAUGUAAACAAAUUUGAGUCGAAGUUGAGUAUACUCAAAUAAUUACGAUGCAUGAUUGGACCACCCAGACCAACAGGCUUUAUUACAGGCCCUCACAUAGGAGCACAGCUGAUCAGCAAGAGCCUGCAUUCACAGGCAAGAAAUAUAUAUCUACCCAUCCACUUCAUCAUACACUGGCCCCUGGCUGCAAACAUCCCCCCAUUCCACUACCACCCCCUUUCUGUCAAAGCUGAUUGUUUCCACGCCAGCAGAGGGCUGGGGGCUAGUUCACUGUCACACUACAUCAGGAAGGAUUGGGGGGGUAGAGGAGGCUAAAUUAGCAGCUAUGCUCGAGGAGUGAGGCGCAGCAGCGAGUCCCACGGCGGAGGGCUUCACCACUUCACACUUCACCUUCAGUCCCGCUUCUAAAACUGAGCGCUGAUGUCUGGAACAGAUACGUUGAAGUAACAGUGAUGUAAGUGACACAGCCUCUUUCAACCAGGGAACCUUACCUUGAAAAUAUAAUAUAUUGUUAAACAGAACCUUCGUCAAAUAAGACAAUUUUAAUUUCAGUUAAAAUGAUGUAUUAUUAUAGUGUUUUUCACAAAAAAAUAUUGUCAUAAAUCCACUUUUAAGUCAAAUGUAACAGUGGCAGGAAAAAAAAUUCAGAUCAAGGGAAUCAGCAGUAAACCAAUGCAAGGAUCCAGAGAAGAACAGCAUCACAGCAGGCAGCAGGUAGUGGGGAAACAGACAGAAAGAAAACAAAUGGAAGUAAAAGAAAGGGCCUAGGAGGAUUGUGGCAACACCGGUAAAUUGAUACAGCAGGAAGAGCCUCAUCCAGAGGUAGACAGACACCAGCACCCAACCACAAAUGCCCUUGCAGACUAUAAGGGUAGCUCUGGAAGUGGGUGACAAAGUAAAACAGGAAAAAAAAUAAGGUACUUUGGCUUAUAAACUGAUUGUUGAUUUUCUUUCAAAGUAAGUAAAAAAAGUGCAUGUUUUGUAUACAACUCAUAUUUAUUUUAUGAAUUUGGCAACUUGGAAAAUAAUAAACAUUACUUUUGCACAUGCCA